UACGGGGGGGGCAAGCGUUGUUCGGAAUUACUGGGCGUAAAGGGCGCGUAGGCGGCUUUUCAAGUCGGGCGUGAAAUCUCCAGGCUUAACCUGGAAGGGUCGUUCGAUACUGUUAAGCUAGAGUGUGGAAGAGGCUACUGGAAUUCCGUGUGUAGCGGUGAAAUGCGUAGAUAUACGGAGGAACACCGAUGGCGAAGGCAAUCCCCUGGGCCUGCACUGACGCUCAUGCACGAAAGCGUGGGGAGCAAACAGG
rnacentral:rRNA from 1 species